CCUAGAGUUGUAGGCUUUGCCUGCUAUCUCUUACCCAUGUCUUUUGAGUACCUUACGUUUCCUCGGUGGGUUCGCCCACCGAUUGGACAAACUUAAACCCUUUGCAGUUGAAAUCAGCGUCUGAAAAAACUUAAUAGUA
rnacentral:misc_RNA from 1 species